AGGUCAAUAAUUCAAUGGUAGAAUAACCCACUCAUAAUGGGUUUGUUGCGUGUUCAAAUCAUGCUUGACCUA
rnacentral:tRNA from 1 species